GUGCUCACUUCAGCAGCACAUAUACCAAAAGUGGAAUGACACAGAAAAUAGCACAGCCCCUGUGUAAGGAUAACAUGUAAAUUCAUGAAGCAUUCCUCAUUUUU